UACGUAGGGUGCGAGCGUUAAUCGGAAUUACUGGGCGUAAAGCGUGCGCAGGCGGUUCGUUGUGUCUGAUGUGAAAGCCCCGGGCUCAACCUGGGAAUGGCAUUGGAAACUGGCGAGCUAGAGUGUGGCAGAGGGGGGUGGAAUUCCGCGUGUAGCAGUGAAAUGCGUAGAGAUGUGGAGGAACACCGAUGGCGAAGGCAGCCCCCUGGGCUAACACUGACGCUCAUGCACGAAAGCGUGGGGAGCAAACAGG
rnacentral:rRNA from 1 species